CCCCUAGACGUUCUGGGCUGCACGCGCGCUACAAUAAUACGCACAGCGAGUAUCACCGAGCUCGAAAGGGCAAGGUAAACAAUAGAAAAGGUACUGUAAUGGUUAUAGAUCCUUGUAAUUAUUGAUCUUCAACGAGGAAUUCCUAGUAAGUAUGUGUCAUCAUCACGCACUGAUUACGUCCCUGCCCUUUGUACACACCGCCCGUCGCUCCUACCGAUUGAGUGCGCCGAUGAAACUGCCGGAUGUGGACUAUUCAUAGUCUGCAGAAGAUAUUUGAAUCGUAGCGCUUAGAGGAAGGAGAAGUCGUAACA
rnacentral:rRNA from 1 species